AGUUGGUCUUCCAGCUCUUUAAGCUCCAUGGUUACUUCCGUAUAUCUGGACAAAUUUACACUCCUGCCUGCAAUGGAACAAAAGAAUUCCAACAAUUCAACAGUCCUUCACACUGCUAUGUCACCAACCAGAGACUUCCUGCACUCUGAGAAACAAGGCAGUGUGGCUUGGGAGGUCAGAAAUAGAGAUGAUGCCUAGUGGAUGUUGGGGGGCAUCUGUUUCUAAUUGUUCUCAUUCUUCAUCCAACGAGCCACACAGUCAAGACUUGAACUCCAGUGUACAUUACUACUGAGAGCUUUCAGGCUAGAUGUAAUCCCAGAGCUGCAAGCCCCAUUCCAAUGGCAACCCAUACAUGAUCCACACGGGGCAGGAAAGCAAGAACAUUUUCUCUUCAACUCUCAGAAUGCAGUAUCAGAUCAAGAGGGCAUCCUCACAGUCUGUCCUCAGGAGACUACAAACAUCUAGGGUGGCUGAUGAUGUCAAACUUCGGGAUCUACAUGACAGCCACCUAGAAAAAGACGGAUGCCCCAUGACCUCUGAACCCCAGCAUAAACCCCAAGCCUGCCUGAAUCUUUUAGAUGAAUUAGAAGCUAUUAUUCUAGAUAGGUGAAUUUCCAUUGUUUGAAGGCACCAUCCUGGGGACAAUGGUCUAUUCUGAGUCAUUUUUUACCCUCAUCCUGACUCUAAGUUGUCUCCCCCAGCCAUUUCUUCCUCUUUACCUCACUCAGUUGAGCCACAGGCAUUCAGCAAUCACUGAGUGCUCACCUGUGUUCUGGGUUACCCUUAACCUGAAGGUUACUAGAGAAUGCAGUUCUUAUCUCUCAGACAGGUUUUAGUCAUGCUGCAGUAACAAGCAUGCCCAGAACGAAAUGUUUUAAAACAACCCAGGCUUAUUCUGGACACGUUUCUUAUCCAUUGAGGAUUGGUAGAACACUCUAACCACAUGAUCGGCCGUCAGGAUACAGGUCCUGGGAUACAGGCUAAUAGAGGAAGCUAAAACCCUCAGAGGCUGAACUAUGCAGAGUGCAAGAACAGAAGACUCCUUAGGGGAGAAACAGGGACAUGUGUAGGAAUUACUGUGGGAUGGUCAUUCUGAGCAUGGUCAGGGGAACCUUCCAGAGGAUAUGACUAUUAAGCUGAGACUCUGGUUGUGGAGAAGAGAUAGUCUUGGAAGUCUCUUGUGGCAGAGCUCUCCAAGGGUGACCAGGGCUGUCAGAACUGUAUAUCAAGAUGAGGCUUGUCACAUGCAAAGAACUAGACAACAGCCAAUGUUGCCGGACCCCAGAGAACAAGGGAGGAGACAGAGGAUAACGAGAUGUUAAAGUAGCCAGGAGUAAGCAUGUAUAUUAAUCUCUUUCUUGGUGCUGUGACCAAACGGAGGGAGGAAAGUUAGAUUGCAGUUUAUGGUGCUAGAGGGUUACAGCAUGUCACAGGAUGGAAGGCAUGGCAGAGCUCAUGCAAGGAUGAUGUUGGUGGUUCCCACUGCAUGCUAGGCACGAAGCAGGUACUACAGGCUGGCACCAGAGGCGUGUGUAACCUUCAAAGGCCUGCCCUUCACCCAGACCCCACAUCAUAAAGUCUCUACAGCUUUCAAAAUAGCACCACAGACUAGAGGCAAACAUCUAGCACUGAGCCUGAUGGGGGCAGUUUCGAGUCAAGCCAUAACAUUGUCAAUGGUCCCCAGAGGCUCAUGGCCAUUAUAACUAUUACCUUUCAUCUAUCUAUCUAUUAUCUAUCAUAUAUCUAUCAUUUAUCAUCAUGUAGCUAUCAUAAUCUAUCAUAUGUAUAUUAUAUAUGUAUAAUCUAUCAUUAAUCUAUAUGUAUAAUCUAUCAUUAAUCUAUAUGUCUAUCUAUCAUUUACCUAUCAUCUAAAAGUGGAAAGACAUGAAAGUAGAAGGGGGAUAAUAAGAGGGAGAAGAAGCCUAACGGUAGCAGGGAGGGACAAAAGGAAAAGCUAAUGGAACUCUAUGACUUAAAGCAGAAGGGGAUCCUAUCUGGAAGGAGAAAAACCUUGGAGAACGGAGACGGAGGAGAAAGGAAGUCGGGAGGAAGAAAUAAACAUGAUGUACACGUAUGCAAGUGCCAAAAUGAAACAUCAACGUUGUAGGCUAACUAAAAUUAAAUCCAAACUAUUUCGAAAGAAAAACAGAGCAGACCCUGUUAAUCAAACACCACACAGUCCCUGUGACACCUACCCACUAAAGCUCUUCCCCAGCGUGACCACUUGAGUCUGCAGCCAGUCCUGGUGUGGAAGCAAUCAGUUCCUGGGGUGUUACAACAAGUCCCACAGACUGCAAUAGCUAGCUGCCUUGCUCAAGUGGAAACUUCCUCUCCACCAUCUCCUCUCCUGAGGAGCGGGCAGCAAUUCCUCACGCAGCUCAGGAUAUCAGAUGCAGCCACAGCUUUGUGCUCACCCACCCCCCACCUACAGCUAUGUUCCACAUCCUUCUCCAUUAAGCCCAGCAGGGAAACAGCAUAGCUGGGAGGAAACGCCAAGAACCCAGGGAAGGGCUCUUGCUAGCAGAGAAAGGUCCCAUGCCCACAAUUAAUUAUACACAUUUAUUGGAGGGCUGGUAAGCAAAUCAGCGUCAUUGAUGAUUUAUCCCCUAAUUUGCGUUGAGCACACACCUCAUAAAUCAAUAAGAGAAAAUGGCAUUAAAGCAUUGGUGUUAAGUGUAAGCAAAUCGCAGUGUACUGGUUCUCUUAAUUAAAAGAAUGUGUGUAUUG
rnacentral:lncRNA from 1 species